GACGAACGCUGGCGGCGUGCUUAACACAUGCAAGUCGAACGGAAAGGCCCUGCUUGCAGGGUACUCGAGUGGCGAACGGGUGAGUAACACGUGGGUGAUCUGCCCUGCACUUCGGGAUAAGCCUGGGAAACUGGGUCUAAUACCGGAUAGGAGCCAUUUUUAGUGUGAUGGUUGGAAAGUUUUUUCGGUGUAGGCUGAGCUCGCGGCCUAUCAGCUUGUUGGUGGGGUAAUGGCCUACCAAGGCGGCGACGGGUAGCCGGCCUGAGAGGGUGGACGGCCACAUUGGGACUGAGGUACGGCCCAGACUCCUACGGGAGGCAGCAGUGGGGAAUAUUGCACAAUGGGCGCAAGCCUGAUGCAGCGACGCCGCGUGGGGGAUGACGGCCUUCGGGUUGUAAACUCCUUUCGCUAGGGACGAAGCUUUUUGUGACGGUACCUAGAUAAGAAGCACCGGCUAACUACGUG
rnacentral:rRNA from 1 species